rnacentral:misc_RNA from 1 species
CAAAAACGCUAAACCCCACACCCCCCAAUUUCCCUCUCUCGUCCCUACAAAACAAUAGCUCUGUGCUUCUCCCUCUAAAACGCACGCGUUUCGGUGUUGAUUGUUCUCUCUCUAACCCUAGGCUUGCGAUCCAUCCAAUCAUUUCCAGGGGCGAAGGAAAAAACCUCUGUCGUACUUUACAUAUAUACACCUACACCUACACCUACACGUAUACUUGUAUAGUUUUGUAUACGUAUAUUCAUUUUCCUUGGUGGAUAUUAAAUGCGUUUGAUCGGAGAACCACUUUUAGGGAUUCUUGUGGUUUUGUCAUUUCUGGCUUAUCCUAUCCUCUCUGCCAUUUUUGUCUCUUAAGCUUCUUUCUUUCUGUCUCUCUGUUGGUUUUCGGUACUGUACUCUUUGCUUUGUCGACACUGUUCUCGCGCAGUAAAUUCUGCUGCUGCAUUUUUUUUAAUUUCCAAUUUUCCUGUUCCCAAAAUUUUCCUGGAAAUACAUUUUUUUCCAUUUCAGUCACAGCAUACUACCUUCUACUUCCUUCAAGACUUCCUCCUUUAACCUCAACCCUUCGUUUCGAGAGAG